AGAACGAACGCUGGCGGCGUGGAUAAGACAUGCAAGUCGAACGCGAUUUAUCAGGUUAGCAAUAACUUGGUAAAUUGAGUGGCGAAAGGGUGCGUAACACGUGGGAAUUUACCAAAAAGUGGGGAAUAGCUCGGCGAAAGCCGAAUUAAUACCGCAUGUGAUCGAAAGAUCAAAGUCGGGGACCGCAAGGCCUGACGCUUUUUGAGAAGCCCGCGGCCCAUCAGCUAGUUGGCGGGGUAAAAGCCCACCAAGGCUAUGACGGGUAGCUGGUCUGAGGGGACGACCAGCCACACUGGAACUGAGACACGGUCCAGACACCUACGGGUGGCAGCAGUCGAGAAUUUUUCACAAUGGACGAAAGUCUGAUGGAGCGACGCCGCGUGGAGGAUGAAGGUUCUUGGAUUGUAAACUCCUGUCACUGCAGAACAAGGCAGUGCGUAUGAAUAGUGCGCACUGUGAUGGUAUGCGGAGAGGAAGGGACGGCUAACGUCUGUGCC
rnacentral:rRNA from 1 species